rnacentral:rRNA from 1 species
CCUACGGGUGACAGCAGUGGGGGAUAUUGCACAAUGGGGGAAACCCUGAUGCAGCGACGCCGCGUGUGGGAAGACGGUCUUCUGGAUUGUAAACCACUGUCCCCAGGGACGAAAAUGACGGUACCUGGGGAGGAAGCUCCGGCUAACUACGUGCCGGCAGCCGCGGUAAUACGUAGGGAGCAAGCGUUGUCCGGAAUUACUGGGUGAAAAGGGAGCGUAGGCGGGGAUGCAAGUUGGGUGUCAAAACUACCGGCUCAACCGAUAGUCGCACUCAAAACUGGAGCUCUUGAGUGAAGUAGAGGCAGGCGGAAUUCCUAGUGUAGCGGUGAAAUGCGUAGAUAUUAGGAGGAACACCAGUGGCGAAGGCGGCCUGCUGGGCUUGUACUGACGCUGAGGCUCGAAAGUGUGGGGAGCGAACAGGAUUAGAUACCCCAGUAGUC